rnacentral:rRNA from 1 species
UGGGGAAUUUUGGGCAAUGGGCGAAAGCCUGACCCAGCAACGCCGCGUGAAGGAUGAAGUAUUUCGGUAUGUAAACUUCGAAAGAAUAGGAAGAAUAAAUGACGGUACUAUUUGUAAGGUCCGGCUAACUACGUGCCAGCAGCCGCGGUAAUACGUAGGGACCAAGCGUUGUUCGGAUUUACUGGGCGUAAAGGGUGCGUAGGCGGUGUGUCAAGUCAGUUGUGAAAUCUCCGAGCUUAACUCGGAACGGUCAACUGAUACUGUCACACUAGAGUACAGAAGGGGCAAUCGGAAUUCUUGGUGUAGCGGUGAAAUGCGUAGAUAUCAAGAGGAACACCUGAGGCGAAGGCGGGUUGCUGGGCUGAUACUGACGCUGAGGCGCGAAAGCUAGGGUAGCAAACGGGAUUAGAUACCCCCGUAGUCCCUGAGCGGGCUGGCAAGGCGCAU